rnacentral:rRNA from 1 species
CCUACGGGUGGCUGCAGUGGGGGAUAUUGCACAAUGGGGGAAACCCUGAUGCAGCGACGCCGCGUGUGGGAAGACGGUCCUCUGGAUUGUAAACCACUGUCCCCAGGGACGAAGAUGACGGUACCUGGGGAGGAAGCUCCGGCUAACUACGUGCCAGCAGCCGCGGUAAUACGUAGGGAGCAAGCGUUGUCCGGAAUUACUGGGUGUAAAGGGAGCGUAGGCGGAAUGGCAAGUUGGGUGUUAAAUCUACCGGCUCAACUGGUAGUCGCACUCAAAACUGCUAUUCUUGAGGGAAGUAGAGGCAGGCGGAAUUCCUAGUGUAGCGGUGAAAUGCGUAGAUAUUAGGAGGAACACCAGUGGCGAAGGCGGCCUGCUGGGCUUUUACUGACGCUGAGGCUCGAAAGUGUGGAGAGCAAACAGGAUUAGAUACCCUAGUAGUC